rnacentral:pre_miRNA from 1 species
AGCUGGUUGAAGGGGACCAAAUGGUCAAAAGUCGAGAUUUGGCCCAAUUCCAACCAACUAA